rnacentral:lncRNA from 1 species
AUAAAAUGGAUUUCUGUAAUAUGUUCUCGUUGUUCGAUCCUUGUUUGAUGCUUGUCAUAGUGUGUUUGCAUCUCAUUUCAUGGAAUUUGCAAGUCCAAGUUCAGAUUGAGAUUCAGUAUUACUGAUGAAGUGUUAUUUGUUACAUUACCCACGAGAGAUGAGCAGGUGGAGUUGUGUAAUUUUUCAUAUCAAUCAACUCGCAUUCACAUUUUACGAAUAGGUAUUGUUUUCAUUUAAUUAAGUUAAAACCGUCAAAAUAAUCUAGAUUAUAGUAAAAAUUAGGUAUGGUCAUUGGUCACCCAAAAAUUAGGUAUCCUCGUUUCACCGCCAUCUUCGACA